UUAAGCGACUAAGCGUACACGGUGGAUGCCCUGGCAGUCAGAGGCGAUGAAGGACGUGCUAAUCUGCGAUAAGCGUCGGUGAGGUGAUAUGAACCGUUAUAACCGGCGAUUUCCGAAUGGGGAAACCCAGUGUGUUUCGACACACUAUCAUUAACUGAAUCCAUAGGUUAAUGAGGCGAACCGGGGGAACUGAAACAUCUAAGUACCCCGAGGAAAAGAAAUCAACCGAGAUUCCCCCAGUAGCGGCGAGCGAACGGGGAGGAGCCCAGAGCCUGAAUCAGUGUGUGUGUUAGUGGAAGCGUCUGGAAAGGCGUGCGAUACAGGGUGACAGCCCCGUACACAAAAAUGCACAUACUGUGAGCUCGAUGAGUAGGGCGGGACACGUGGUAUCCUGUCUGAAUAUGGGGGGACCAUCCUCCAAGGCUAAAUACUCCUGACUGACCGAUAGUGAACCAGUACCGUGAGGGAAAGGCGAAAAGAACCCCGGCGAGGGGAGUGAAAAAGAACCUGAAACCGUGUACGUACAAGCAGUGGGAGCCUCUUAAUGGGGUGACUGCGUACCUUUUGUAUAAUGGGUCAGCGACUUAUAUUCUGUAGCAAGGUUAACCGAAUAGGGGAGCCGAAGGGAAACCGAGUCUUAACUGGGCGUUAAGUUGCAGGGUAUAGACCCGAAACCCGGUGAUCUAGCCAUGGGCAGGUUGAAGGUUGGGUAACACUAACUGGAGGACCGAACCGACUAAUGUUGAAAAAUUAGCGGAUGACUUGUGGCUGGGGGUGAAAGGCCAAUCAAACCGGGAGAUAGCUGGUUCUCCCCGAAAGCUAUUUAGGUAGCGCCUCGUGAAUUCAUCUCCGGGGGUAGAGCACUGUUUCGGCAAGGGGGUCAUCCCGACUUACCAACCCGAUGCAAACUGCGAAUACCGGAGAAUGUUAUCACGGGAGACACACGGCGGGUGCUAACGUCCGUCGUGAAGAGGGAAACAACCCAGACCGCCAGCUAAGGUCCCAAAGUCAUGGUUAAGUGGGAAACGAUGUGGGAAGGCCCAGACAGCCAGGAUGUUGGCUUAGAAGCAGCCAUCAUUUAAAGAAAGCGUAAUAGCUCACUGGUCGAGUCGGCCUGCGCGGAAGAUGUAACGGGGCUAAACCAUGCACCGAAGCUGCGGCAGCGACGCUUAUGCGUUGUUGGGUAGGGGAGCGUUCUGUAAGCCUGUGAAGGUGGCCUGUGAGGGUUGCUGGAGGUAUCAGAAGUGCGAAUGCUGACAUAAGUAACGAUAAAGCGGGUGAAAAGCCCGCUCGCCGGAAGACCAAGGGUUCCUGUCCAACGUUAAUCGGGGCAGGGUGAGUCGACCCCUAAGGCGAGGCCGAAAGGCGUAGUCGAUGGGAAACAGGUUAAUAUUCCUGUACUUGGUGUUACUGCGAAGGGGGGACGGAGAAGGCUAUGUUGGCCGGGCGACGGUUGUCCCGGUUUAAGCGUGUAGGCUGGUUUUCCAGGCAAAUCCGGAAAACCAAGGCUGAGGCGUGAUGACGAGGCACUACGGUGCUGAAGCGACAAAUGCCCUGCUUCCAGGAAAAGCCUCUAAGCAUCAGGUAACAUCAAAUCGUACCCCAAACCGACACAGGUGGUCAGGUAGAGAAUACCAAGGCGCUUGAGAGAACUCGGGUGAAGGAACUAGGCAAAAUGGUGCCGUAACUUCGGGAGAAGGCACGCUGAUAUGUAGGUGAAGCGACUUGCUCGUGGAGCUGAAAUCAGUCGAAGAUACCAGCUGGCUGCAACUGUUUAUUAAAAACACAGCACUGUGCAAACACGAAAGUGGACGUAUACGGUGUGACGCCUGCCCGGUGCCGGAAGGUUAAUUGAUGGGGUUAGCGGCAACGCGAAGCUCUUGAUCGAAGCCCCGGUAAACGGCGGCCGUAACUAUAACGGUCCUAAGGUAGCGAAAUUCCUUGUCGGGUAAGUUCCGACCUGCACGAAUGGCGUAAUGAUGGCCAGGCUGUCUCCACCCGAGACUCAGUGAAAUUGAACUCGCUGUGAAGAUGCAGUGUACCCGCGGCAAGACGGAAAGACCCCGUGAACCUUUACUAUAGCUUGACACUGAACAUUGAGCCUUGAUGUGUAGGAUAGGUGGGAGGCUUUGAAGUGUGGACGCCAGUCUGCAUGGAGCCGACCUUGAAAUACCACCCUUUAAUGUUUGAUGUUCUAACGUUGGCCCGUAAUCCGGGUUGCGGACAGUGUCUGGUGGGUAGUUUGACUGGGGCGGUCUCCUCCUAAAGAGUAACGGAGGAGCACGAAGGUUGGCUAAUCCUGGUCGGACAUCAGGAGGUUAGUGCAAUGGCAUAAGCCAGCUUGACUGCGAGCGUGACGGCGCGAGCAGGUGCGAAAGCAGGUCAUAGUGAUCCGGUGGUUCUGAAUGGAAGGGCCAUCGCUCAACGGAUAAAAGGUACUCCGGGGAUAACAGGCUGAUACCGCCCAAGAGUUCAUAUCGACGGCGGUGUUUGGCACCUCGAUGUCGGCUCAUCACAUCCUGGGGCUGAAGUAGGUCCCAAGGGUAUGGCUGUUCGCCAUUUAAAGUGGUACGCGAGCUGGGUUUAGAACGUCGUGAGACAGUUCGGUCCCUAUCUGCCGUGGGCGCUGGAGAACUGAGGGGGGCUGCUCCUAGUACGAGAGGACCGGAGUGGACGCAUCACUGGUGUUCGGGUUGUCAUGCCAAUGGCACUGCCCGGUAGCUAAAUGCGGAAGAGAUAAGUGCUGAAAGCAUCUAAGCACGAAACUUGCCCCGAGAUGAGUUCUCCCUGAGACUUAGAGUCUCCUGAAGGAACGUUGAAGACGACGACGUUGAUAGGCCGGGUGUGUAAGCGCAGCGAUGCGUUGAGCUAACCGGUACUAAUGAACCGUGAGGCUUAACCUU
rnacentral:rRNA from 1 species